rnacentral:lncRNA from 1 species
UGGAAGGAUUUUAUAGACCACAUCAGCAGUCUCCUGCACAGUGUUGAAGUAGAAGUCAGUUACUUUGCAGCUGGAAUUAUCGCCCACUUAAUAUCCAGGGGUGAACAAGCAUGGACCUUGAGCCGAAGCCAGAGGAAUUCUCUUCUUGAUGACUUGCAUUCAGCUAUUUUGAAAUGGCCAACUCCAGAGUGUGAGAUGGUAGCAUACAGGUCCUUUAAUCCAUUCUUUCCACUACUUGGCUGUUUUACAACUCCUGGAGUCCAGCUGUGGGCAGUUUGGGCCAUGCAACAUGUCUGCAGCAAGAACCCUUCAAGGUAUUGCAGCAUGCUGAUUGAAGAAGGAGGACUACAGCAUUUGUACAACAUCAAAGAGCAUGAGCAGACAGAUCCCUAUGUCCAGCAGAUUGCUGUAGCCAUUCUGGACAGUUUAGAGAAACACAUUGUGCGCCAUGGAAGGCCCCCUCCCUGUAAAAAGCAGCCCCAGGCCCGACUGAAUUGAUAGCCAUAGAUAGUUGGGUACGAACAAACAGCAUUUUUGUGGUGGGUUCAUUUGGAAUAGCGUGCUCUCUGGUGUUUGGGGGCGGGGUGGGGUGUGUGUGGUAAGAGUCUGUGAUCCUUUGGAAUUGGUAAUGUACAGUACUGCCCAUGUGAACAGUCUGAUUUGUUUUGUGAUUUUUAACUUACGAGGCAAGAAAGGUCUUCCUUC